GAGAAAGGCAGACCUGGUGGUCAUCAACAGCAGAGAAGAACUGGCGUUUGUCAGCAGAUUGAUGGAUACUUCCUGGAUUGGACUGAGUGAUCGAGAGAAAGAGGGGACCCACAAGUGGGUGGAUGGUACCCCCAUGACCUCAAGUUGGAGACACGUUAAACCACGCGAUGACGGCGGAGCAAGAGACUGCGUCGUAGCAGGGGAGGACGGCUGGUCUGAAGAACCGUGUAACAGACUGCACCACUGGAUCUGUGAGAAGGUCCUAGACCUGGAUCAUCUGGAGGCUGAGCGGAACAAAGAG